AUGGCGUCAAAAAUCAUGAAAAAAAGUCAUAGUAUAGUAUGUCAUCAAAAACGGUCAAAAAAAGUCAUAGUAUAGUAUGGCGUCAAAAACCAUGAAAAAAAGUCAUAGUAUAGUAUGUUGUCAAAAACCAUGAAAAAAAGUCAUAGUAUAGUAUGUUGUCAAAAACCAUGAAAAAAAAGUCAUAGUAUAGUAUGGCAUCAAAAACCAUGAAAAAAAGUCAUAGUAUAGUAUGGCGUCAAAAAUCAUGAAAAAAAGUCAGUAUAGUAUGGCGUCAAAAAUCAUGAAAAAAAGUCAUAAUAUAGUAUGGCAUCAAAAACGGUCAAAAAAAGUCAUAGUAUAGUAUGGCGUCAAAAACCAUGAAAAAAAGUCAUAGUAUAGUAUGGCAUCAAAAACGGUCAAAAAAAGUCAUAGUAUAGUAUGGCGUCAAAAAUCAUGAAAAAAAGUCAUAAUAUAGUAUGGCGUCAAAAAUCAUGAAAAAAAGUCAUAGUAUAGUAUGGCAUCAAAAACGGUCAAAAAAAGUCAUAGUAUAGUAUGGCGUCAAAAACCAUGAAAAAAAGUCAUAGUAUAGUAUGGCAUCAAAAAUCAUGAAAAAAAGUCAUAGUAUAGUAUGGCGUCAAAAAUCAUGAAAAAAAGUCAUAGUAUAGUAUGGCAUCAAAAACGGUCAAAAAAAGUCAUAGUAUAGUAUGUCGUCAAAAAUCAUGAAAAAAAGUCAUAGUAUAGUAUGUUGUCAAAAACCAUGAAAAAAAGUCAUAGUAUAGUAUGGCAUCAAAAACGGUCAAAAAAAGUCAUAGUAUAGUAUGGCGUCAAAAACCAUGAAAAAAAGUCAUAGUAUAGUAUGGCAUCAAAAACGGUCAAAAAAAGUCAUAGUAUA